GAUGAACGCUGGCGGCGUGCCUAAUACAUGCAAGUCGAGCGAACGGACGAGAAGCUUGCUUCUCUGAUGUUAGCGGCGGACGGGUGAGUAACACGUGGAUAACCUACCUAUAAGACUGGGAUAACUUCGGGAAACCGGAGCUACUACCGGAUAAUAUUUUGAACCGCAUGGUUCAAAAGUGAAAGACGGUCUUGCUGUCACUUAUAGAUGGAUCCGCGCUGCAUUAGCUAGUUGGUAAGGUAACGGCUUACCAAGGCAACGAUGCAUAGCCGACCUGAGAGGGUGAUCGACCACACUGGAACUGAGACACGGUCCAGACUCCUACGGGAGGCAGCAGUAGGGAAUCUUCCGCAAUGGGCGAAAGCCUGACGGAGCAACGCCGCGUGAGUGAUGAAGGUCUUCGGAUCGUAAAACUCUGUUAUUAGGGAAGAACAUAUGUGUAAGUAACUGUGCACAGCUUGACGGUACCUAAUCAGAAAGCCACGGCUAACUACGUG
rnacentral:rRNA from 1 species